CUCCUACCCUCGUGACAACCCGUGGGUAUCGGUGCUUUCAUUUCCUCAGAAGUCUCUUUCUUCCAACAAAGUGGGUCUCCAGAGAGGUGAGAUGACUUGCCUGAGGGUGAUCAGUGAGCUCAAAGAAGAGCACAGGUGAGGACCCUCCCACGCCUGGCGCAGCACUUACAGUUUACAGAGCACCUCCCUUCCUGGAGCAGAUGCUUCCACCGCGGGCAGCCAGCACCCGUGUCUCUCAGAGGCUGGCGCCGGGCCUGCGUUUACAGGGAGCUGGAAGUGCAUGACCUCCUGAGGGGAACUCACGUCCUCCAGUCACUGCUGCAGGAUCCAUCCAAAGCGGGACUUUGAGAUGACACACCCUUGCUUGGCUUCUGUCCCUUCCAUGUCCUGGUCUCCCAUCCUCUACCAGCCCUCCUGGGGAUGCUUCACAGGCUCACCUGGGCAGGAGCUGGGCUUUUAUAUGAGCUCACCUCACCCCAGGACUCACCAUGCCUAGGAGAGGAGUGACGCCCCCUCUGUGUCCGAACCUCCACUGCUGUACAUGCUACCCCAGACCAUGCUCCAUGAAGGCCAAUGGCACCUCUGUCUGCUCACUGCCGGAUUCUGAGACUGUUAGAGGAAUGAAUGAAUGAACAAAUAAAC
rnacentral:lncRNA from 1 species